rnacentral:rRNA from 1 species
GAGACUCUGUGCGCGUGCAUAUCAAUAAGCGGAGGAAAAGAAACUAACAAGGAUUCCCUUAGUAACGGCGAGUGAAGCGGGAAGAGCUCAAAUUUGAAAUCUUCAAGGUUUUACCUUGACGAAUUGUAGUUUAAAGAAGUGUUUUCUGUUGGAGUUUUGGUAAAAGUUCUUUGGAAUAGGACAUCAUAGAGGGUGAGAAUCCCGUAUUUGACCAUUAUUUCCAGCUGUGUGAUACACUUUCAAAGAGUCGGAUUGUUUGGGAAUGCAGUCCAAAAUGGGUGGUAAAUUUCAUCUAAAGCUAAAUACUGGCGAGAGACCGAUAGCGAACAAGUACCGUGAGGGAAAGAUGAAAAGAACUUUGAAAAGAGAGUUAAACAGUACGUGAAAUUGUCAAAAGGGAAGCGUUUGACACCAGUGUUGUUUUUCCGAAAAUCAAUUACGAAUGUUUUGUUUUUGAGGAGUUAUGACUUCAUCGGCUUGCUCCUUUCUUUAUGAAACUUUCUUAAUGCACUUUUCGGUUAACAAGUCAACAUCAAUUUCUUUUGUUGUAAAAGGGUAUGAGGAAGGUGGCUUUCUUUUCGGAGAAAGUGUUUAUAGCCUUGUACCUCUGCAAUCGGAGAGAUUGAGGUCUGCAGCGUAGAUCCUUCGGGGUUAGAUACAUUUGUGCUAAGUUAUAGCUUGUCAUAGACAACUUGUUGACUAUGUUCAGUCAUUGUAGCUUACUCGCUUACUGCUAUUUUACCUACGCUUAGGAUGUUGAACUCUAUCACACACAG